GAUGAACGCUGGCGGCGUGCCUAAUACAUGCAAGUCGAGCGAACAGACGAGGAGCUUGCUCUUACGGGUGGCGAGUGGCGGACGGGUGAGGAAUACAUCGGAAUCUACUUUUUCGUGGGGGAUAACGUAGGGAAACUUACGCUAAUACCGCAUACGACCUACGGGUGAAAGCAGGGGAUCUUCGGACCUUGCGCGAUUGAAUGAGCCGAUGUCGGAUUAGCUAGUUGGCGGGGUAAAGGCCCACCAAGGCGACGAUCCGUAGCUGGUCUGAGAGGAUGAUCAGCCACACUGGAACUGAGACACGGUCCAGACUCCUACGGGAGGCAGCAGUGGGGAAUAUUGGACAAAGGGCGCAAGCCUGAUCCAGCCAUACCGCGUGGGUGAAGAAGGCCUUCGGGUUGUAAAGCCCUUUUGUUGGGAAAGAAAAGCAGCAGGUUAAUACCCCGCUGUUCUGACGGUACCCAAAGAAUAAGCACCGGCUAACUUCGUG
rnacentral:rRNA from 1 species